GAGCAACUAGAAUUAGUACAAUCCUUAGCAUAUAUUGUCGAAUAAUGGUUGAUGCCAAUAAAAUCUACGCUAUUCUUCAUAAAAUUCUUUUCAUCACGGGAGAAACUUGGUAAUGCAUUACCAAGACAUUCCUUAAGUUCGUCUGGGUAGUCUCCAAAUAUGGAGGGAUCAAAUGUUACCAGCCAGAAUGAAAAGCAAAUGCCCUUUUGGCAGCCUCAUGAUCUAGUUCUCUAUCCGUUAGUGGUUCAUACAUAUCAGCGUAAACAGUGAGACCAAUUGAGCCACCUUGCUUA
rnacentral:lncRNA from 1 species